CGCAGGUGCCCGAGCCCCCCGGGGCCCUCGCCUCAGGGUGCCCGUGCCCGGCGGAGAACGGACCCGGCGCUUUGGUACCAGCAGGAAAAGAUGCUCUCUAUGAAUAGAGAGAGUGGCUAUUUACUCCGAAAUACUUGGCACGGCGGACGGAGUCUGAAGCGUGGAAGAAGUGUCUAUUAUUUUCCCACUGCAUGUGUGCAGCUGUCACUUCUGAGCAACAUGUUCCUCGCACAUCCCUGCUUCCCCGCCUCGCUGAGGGUCCUCCCCAGGAUAACAACAAGAAGGAACCAGCAGGCCACCUCACUCAGCCAAAACCUAAACGUUGUGGUUUGUAUUUGACCAAACCCAAGACUUAAGCAGUGUGGCUUGUAUUAAAUCGUUGCAGAUAACUGUUAUGCUUUUUUUUUUUAGGUAGGAGGAUGGUUCUUCUCCCCCCCCCUCUUGUGUAUCAUUUGAAUGUUCAGUGAUGUCAUGUUGUUUCACCUCCACUUUAACACAAGGAAUGCCAGCGUUUUGGCUUUUGACCUGUGGAAGCAAAUGGCUGCUAACAAAACCAGACGCUGCUUUGGACUACAGGUGAAAUGCCUCGCGAGAGCAGCAGGAGAGGGAGAUGGUGGAGUUGCCCUCCCAGAGUCUUUGCAGACAUCAUCUUCAGGUAUCUUGGACAAACACCUGCUGGGCCAUAAGCAUAGAGAAAAAGAGAAGGAGGUGCAGGGUUGAUAAUGCUUGAGAAUUUGCCAGAUGUCAGCAGGUAUUUCAGGUAUUUUAAGAUGAGCCUCUUGGGUGACUUGUGAAAAUCCAGAAUCCUGCCUUUCUGCAUGGAUAAUGAAGACCCAUCUUACUUGCUGGUAUAAUGUACAAAUAGCAUUUGUUCCUAUAUUCUGUCCCUAAAGAGGAUGCAUUCAUACAUUUUGAGACUGGGCAAAGCAUAAAAGCAAAGUCAUGAGGAGCUGUAUUUCUGGCUCCUUAGCAAGAUAAUAGGGAGUCUUACAGGGGAUAAACAUUAGCUGCUUUGUUACUUAAUUUCUUAACAUUUUUUUCUGUUUUUCCCAUCUGAACAGAGAAGCAAGGAAACAUAAAACUGUGUUUCCUCUCAAAUUAUUUCACGUGCCACUGACAGCACAUCCCCUGUGCCUUUUCAGUCCUAUGGAGACACCUCUGAGUUUGGACAGCACCCAGCACUGCAAGGCCUCACUCCAUGGCAAUACUUCCAGGCAAAUAAAUCACAGUAGUGUUUUGUUGUGCAAAAGCAGAUCCAUUCUCCACCAGUGAUGCCCUUUUCCCUUCUGGGAGGAAGCCAGCAAGUUGCUCUGCACCCAGUGGGCGUGGCAGGGUUGAGUCCUUGCAGGCACCCUCCAGUUGGUGCCUUGGGCCAGACCACCUACCUUCUGAAAUACAGAUGUUACUGAAGAUGCCUGGCCUGGGUUGUUGGGAAGGCUGGAGCUGCAGGUCUUGCCAGCAGGGCAAAACCUUCUCCUCACAAACAGUAAAGCUGCUGCUUCCCCCCCCGAGGCUGCUUGAGGGGGGUUGCUGGAGUCUGGUCCUGCUGCAGUGCUAUGCCAGGCAGCAAGUACUGGCAGCUGGAGGCAGCCUGCCAGGGAAAGGUUGUGCAUCGUGUGGCUGCGAGGCAAGCAUUCAAGCAUGGGUUAAAAUGGCUGGACAGCUUGCCACUAGAAAACAGGGUUUUUUUCCAUAAUCACUUCCCAGUCUUGGAUAUGCAGUCUCCAGUUACUGGAGGGAUUCAGAGCUGGCACAGGCAGCCUCUUAAGUAUUAGUCUGCCCUGUGUGCUUGGCACCAAACUGAGACAAUUUUGAGUACAGUUCAGAUCUUCUGAAGGAGGUGUUGUUGUUUGGUUUUUUUUGUUUUGUUUUGGGUUGGGUUUUUUUGGUAUUUCUUUCCAUAAGAAAGCAGUUCUAUUUUUAGGACUUGGCCCAAAUUGUUGAAACCAGUGGGUUUUUACUGUUGUUUUUUUUCCUCUCUUCAAUCAAAAUGAAGCAGUUCUGGCUGAUCCUAGCUGAGCAGUGCUGCUGCUUCUCUUAAAGUUACACUCAAGGACAUUUUGUGAGGUGCGUGUGAGUGCAUGGUUGCCUAUGUGUGUGUGGAACAUUUCUCUCUAUUUCCAGGAAUGAAAAGGGGUCUUUGCUUCCUCCAGAUCUGCACUCUGUGCUUGUAAAUGUCUUUGUUAAGAUUGAUUUUGUGGAACACUAUGAAGGGAGUUUGGCCUAAAAUACAGUAUGUCAUUAAAGUGAAUUUUAUAU